rnacentral:rRNA from 1 species
CCCUUAGAUGUUCUGGGCCGCACGCGUGCUACACUGAGCGGGCCAACGGGUGAGGAUGUGCGAAAGCGCUUCCCAAUCUCUAAAUCCGCUCGUGCUGGGGAUCGAGGCUUGCAAUUAUCCCUCUUGAACGAGGAAUACCUUGUAAGCACGGGUCAUCAUCCCGUGCUGAAUACGUCCCUGCCCUUUGUACACACCGCCCGUCGCUCCUACCGAUUGGAUGGUCCGGUGAAGCCUCGGGAUUGUGGUUCUUGCCGCUUUAUUGUGGCGUGACCGCGAGAACUUGUCUAAACCUUAUCAUCUAGAGGAAGGUGAAGUCGUAACA